rnacentral:rRNA from 1 species
UACGAAGGGGGCUAGCGUUGCUCGGAAUCACUGGGCGUAAAGCGCACGUAGGCGGUUUGUUAAGUCGGAGGUGAAAUCCUGGAGCUCAACUCCAGAACUGCCUUCGAUACUGGCAAGCUUCGAGUUCGGGAGAGGUGAGUGGAACUGCGAGUGUAGAGGUGAAAUUCGUAGAUAUUCGCAAGAACACCAGUGGCGAAGGCGGCUCACUGGCCCGAUACUGACGCUGAGGUGCGAAAGCGUGGGGAGCAAACAGG